GGCGUGCUUAACACAUGCAAGUCUAGGGGAAAGUUUUCUUCGGAGAAUGAGUACACUGGCGCACGGGUGAGUAAUAUAUAAGUAACCUACCUUGUGGAUUGGAAUAACGUAGAGAAAUUUGCGCUAAUACCGAAUGAUGCAGCGGCACCGCAUGGUGAUGUUGUUAAAGUCAUUUAUGGCGCCACAAGAUGGGCUUGUAUUCGAUUAGCUAGUUGGUGGGGUAAUAGCCCACCAAGGCAACGAUCGAUAGCUGGUCUGAGAGGAUGAUCAGCCACACUGGAACUGAGACACGGUCCAGACUCCUACGGGAGGCAGCAGUGAGGAAUAUUGGGCAAUGCCCGCAAGGGUGACCCAGCAACGCCGCGUGGAGGAUGAAUGCCGUAAGGUUGUAAACUCCUUUUGGAGGGGACGAAAAAAUAAGUUGGUAGCUUAUAUUGACUGUACCCUCAGAAAAAGCCCCGGCUAACUACGUGCCAGCAGCCGCGGUAAUACGUAGGGGCCAGCGUUGUCCGGAUUUACUGGGUGUAAAGGGCGCGUAGGCG
rnacentral:rRNA from 1 species